GAAGAAGGCGGAGUUUCAAGAGCUCAUGCGAUUGCCUCACGCAGAUUCAAAAUGUCAGAAACUGUUCAGGCAUUUAUUUUCAAACCAGAGUCUGACAGUGAUGGAGAGACUCAAGAAGUGACAACAUGUUAAGUGCAACAGGACGUUUCUGAACGACUUGUCAGGUUGGGGUUGGACUUAAGGCUUUGGGUCAAGUCUCGAGCUCAAGCCCUCCACCAAGGACAGCAAGAGGACAUGCGUUCGCCAUCUUGUACAACAACACACCUAGAGCUCAGACAUUUAUUGGGACGGCAUGGAAUCAAGGUUCUGUCAAGACUUCAGGAGAACGACUGAUGACCACUCUGCCACUCCCUCUUCCUGUGGGCCUGACCUGUGGACACAGAAACAGCCAACUUAGAAGACAGAGGUGUUAAAUAUCCAAUAUCCAAAUAUCCAGGAAGCUCCCCGACCCAGGAGCUUCCUGGAUAUUUGGAUACUGGGUCUCCAAACAUCACAUUCAGAUAUCACAUAGUUAGUAAUGUUUUAAUAACAAUCAAUAAUUGAUGUCAGUGGUCAAAUAAAAAUUGUUACUUCA